rnacentral:piRNA from 1 species
AGCUCACAGAACUCAUUUCACUUGUUG